rnacentral:rRNA from 1 species
UACGUAGGGCGCAAGCGUUAUCCGGAAUUAUUGGGCGUAAAGAGCUCGUAGGCGGUUUGUCGCGUCUGCCGUGAAAAGUCCGGGGGCUCAACUCCGGAUCUGCGGUGGGUACGGGCAGACUAGAGUGAUGUAGGGGAGACUGGAAUUCCUGGUGUAGCGGUGAAAUGCGCAGAUAUCAGGAGGAACACCGAUGGCGAAGGCAGGUCUCUGGGCCACUACUGACGCUGAGAAGCGAAAGCAUGGGGAGCGAACAGG